UUUGUUUAUCUUGGGUGUGCCCUAAAGGCGCAGGAACCCAUCUGUUCUUGGAAACUGAGGAGGGUCAACCCUGGUUAGUAUUGGGGUGGGAGACCACUAACAAAUAACGUGUUGUAAGCUAUA
rnacentral:rRNA from 11 species